GGAUGUGAGGGCGAUCUGGUUGCAACAUCUGUCACCCCUUUGAUGGCCAGGGUUGAUUCGGCUGAUCUAGGUGGGUGUCCCCGUCCUCCCUCACCACUCCAUGUGCGUCCCUCUCGAAGCUGCGCACUCGGUGGAAGAGGACGACGUCCCAGAUAGAGACGGAGGGUACCGAGGUCUCCAGUCUUUGGUCCCGGGUGUACGAUAGCUGCGCUCCCCUGCUAGAACCUCCAAACAAGCAUAGAAAGAUCUUGUUUUUCAAAACCAGUGGGGAAGGGAGAUUUUUUUGGCAGUUUGAGUGGUCCCACCAAAGAGUCGGGCACCAUGUCU
rnacentral:snRNA from 1 species